UACGAAGGGGGCUAGCGUUGUUCGGAAUUACUGGGCGUAAAGCGUGCGCAGGCGGCUUCUCAAGUCAGGGGUGAAAGCCCAGAGCUCAACUCUGGAGUUGCCUUUGAGACUGAGUGGCUUGAGUACGAGAGAGGUGAGUGGAAUUCCCAGUGUAGAGGUGAAAUUCGUAGAUAUUGGGAAGAACACCGGUGGCGAAGGCGGCUCACUGGCUCGUAACUGACGCUCAUGCACGACAGCGUGGGGAUCAAACAGG
rnacentral:rRNA from 1 species